rnacentral:rRNA from 1 species
AAACUCCAAAACCCCUGCGAACAUACCUACAGUUGCCUCGGCAGGCCGUGCCGCGCGGCGGGUGCACACGCCCCGCGGUACGCUAAGAGGCCUGCCGCAGGACCCCUAAACUCUGUUUUAUGCUGAAUCUCUGAGUGUUAUAGUACGAAUAAGUUAAAACUUUCAACAACGGAUCUCUUGGCUCUGGCAUCGAUGAAGAACGCAGCGAAAUGCGAUAAGUAAUGUGAAUUGCAGAAUUCAGUGAAUCAUCGAAUCUUUGAACGCACAUUGCGCCUAAUAGUAUUCUGUUAGGCAUGCCUGUUCGAGCGUCAUUUCAACCCCCAAGCCUUAAUUGCUUGACGUUGGGAGAUUACGGCGACGUAACUCCUCAAAUCCAGUGGCGGAGCCGGGUCGUUUUCUAGGCGUAGUAACCUACACUCUCGCCUCUGAAGCCGGCCCGGGUCCCGCCGUAAAACCCCCAAUUUUUACUGGUUGACCUCGGAUCAGGUAGGAAUACCCGCUGAACUUAAGCAUAUCAAUAAGCGGAGGAAAAGAAACCAACAGGGAUUGCCUCAGUAGCGGCGAGCGAAGCGGCAACAGCUCAAAUUUGAAAUCUGGCCCUCGGGUCCGAGUUGUAAUUUGCAGAGGAUGCUUUUGGCGCGGUGCCUUCCGAGUUCCCUGGAACGGGACGCCUUAGAGGGUGAGAGCCCCGUACGGUUGGACACUAAGCCUCUGUAAAGCUCCUUCGACGAGUCGAGUAGUUUGGGAAUGCUGCUCUAAACGGGAGGUAAAUUUCUUCUAAAGCUAAAUACCGGCCAGAGACCGAUAGCGCACAAGUAGAGUGAUCGAAAGAUGAAAAGCACUUUGAAAAGAGGGUUAAAUAGCACGUGAAAUUGUUGAAAGGGAAGCGUUUACGGCCAGACCUUUUCUUGGGGGAUCAUCCGGCGUUCUCGCCGGUGCACUUCCCCAGGUUUAGGCCAGCAUCGGCUUCCGCGGGGGGAUAAAAGCAGUGGGAAAGUAGCUCCCUCGGGAGUGUUAUAGCCCUAAGCAUAAUACCCUCGCGGGGGCCGAGGACCGCG